CUUAGUGGCGGACGGGUGAGUAACACGUGAGCAACCUGCCUUUCAGAGGGGGGUAACGUUUGGAAACGAACGCUAAUACCGCAUAACAUCAUAUUAGGGCAUCCUGAAAUGAUCAAAGGAGCAAUCCGCUGAGAGAUGGGCUCGCGCCUGAUUAGAUAGUUGGUAGGGUAACGGCCUACCAAGUCGACGAUCAGUAGCCGGACUGAGAGGUUGAUCGGCCACAUUGGGACUGAGACACGGCCCAGACUCCUACGGGAGGCAGCAGUGGGGGAUAUUGCACAAUGGGGGGAACCCUGAUGCAGCGACGCCGCGUGAGGGAAGAAGGUUUUCGGAUUGUAAACCUCUGUCUUUAGUGACGAUAAUGACGGUAGCUAAAGAGGAAGCCACGGCUAACUACGUGCCAGCAGCCGCGGUAAUACGUAGGUGGCGAGCGUUGUCCGGAAUUACUGGGUGUAAAGGGAGCGUAGGCGGGAAGACAAGUUGAAUGUUUAAACUAUCGGCUUAACCGGUAGUCGCGUUCAAAACUGUUUUUCUUGAGUGAAGUAGAGGCAGGCGGAAUUCCUAGUGUAGCGGUGAAAUGCGUAGAUAUUAGGAGGAACACCAGUGGCGAAGGCGGACUGCUGGGCUUUAACUGACGCUGAGGCUCGAAAGCGUGGGUAGCAAACAGGAUUAGAUACCCUGGUAGUCCACGCCGUAAACGAUGAUUACUAGGUGUGGGGGAGACUGACCCCUUCCGUGCCGGGAG
rnacentral:rRNA from 1 species